CCAGGCUGCUAAUUGACACAUCGGCUGCGUUGACACAGUCCAGGCUGCUAAUUGACACGUGAACUGCACCGGUGCAGUUUAGACUGCAUCGGCUGCUUGGCACAGUACAGGCUGCGCCACUUAGUCCAGGGGGCGUCGACUCAGUGCAGAGGGCGUUGACGCAGCAAAAGCCCGCCACACAGUGUUUAUAAGGAACACCUGCCGAAACAAGCCAGACCUCACUCACGCUCGCUUGUCGAAGCUCGUGUCAGUGCAGACUUCGUGUUCGUGCCUUGCCUUCCUUGCCGAUUAUGGAGCAGAGACGCAAAUCAUCCGCCGUGUGGGACCAUUUUGAUGUCCUGGAGAAUAAGGUGAAAUGUCGAAUUUGCCAAGUCAAUUCGCCAACAGAAGCACCUCCACCAUGCUGAGGCAUUAUCGGGCCAAGCAUGAGAAUGAAGUUCGCGAUACACCCGGUAUUACGCCAGGUUCCAGGAAGCAGCUGUACUGGAAGGACCAACACACUUCUUUCCCAAACCUCUCCCACCUCGCAAAGGAGUUCCUUUGUACGCCAGCCACAUCCGUCCCUUGUGAGCGUGUGUUCUUCACAGCAGGAGAAAUUGCUUGUAAAAGACGCAACAGGCUGAAGUUUAAAACAUUGGAGCAUCUUAUUUUUCUCAA